GCAUCCAUAGCUCAGUUGGUAGAGCAGGAAGCUCUUAACUUCAAGGUCGCAGGUUCGAAUCCUGCUGGAUGCACCU
rnacentral:tRNA from 3 species